rnacentral:tRNA from 1 species
GGAGGGAUGCCGGAGCGGCCGAACGGUGCGGUCUUGAAAAUCGCCGGACGAAAGUCCCGAGGGUUCAAAUCCCUCUCCCUCCGC